AACGAACGCUGGCGGCAUGCCUAACACAUGCAAGUCGAACGAGACCUUCGGGUCUAGUGGCGCACGGGUGCGUAACGCGUGGGAACCUGCCCUUAGGUUCGGAAUAACUCCCCGAAAGGGGUGCUAAUACCGGAUAAUGUCUUCGGACCAAAGAUUUAUCGCCUUUGGAUGGGCCCGCGUUGGAUUAGCUAGUUGGUAGGGUAAAAGCCUACCAAGGCGACGAUCCAUAGCUGGUCUGAGAGGAUGAUCAGCCACACUGGGACUGAGACACGGCCCAGAAGCUGAGGGGGGGCAGAAGGAGGGAAACUGACGAAAGGGGGGAAAGGCGGAAGGAGGAACGCGGCGGGGGUGAGGAAGGUCUUCGGGUAGUAAAACUCUGUUGUUAGGGAGGAAAAUAGGGGAAAGUAACAGUGCACAUCUUGAAGGGACCGAAUCAGAAAGCCAGGGAUAAAGAAGGG
rnacentral:rRNA from 1 species